rnacentral:misc_RNA from 1 species
CGCACAUUGCGCCCGCCAGUACUCUGGCGGGCAUGCCUGUCUGAGCGUCAUUUCAACCCUCAGGUCCCGCCCGCGGGACCUGGCGUUGGGGAUCAGCAACCUCCGGGGAGCUGGCCCUGAAAUCUAGUGGCGGUCCUUCCGCGACCUCCUCUGUGCAGUAGUGAUACCUCGCAGCUGGAUAGCGAAUGGGCCACGCCGUAAAACCCCCCACUUCUCAAGGUUGACCUCAGAUCAGGUAGGAAUACCCGCUGAACUUAA